CAACAACCUUUCCGUAAUUCUGAGCUUUCUGGAUAAUGGUUUUCUGGACAACGGAUCCAAUGCUUGUAGUAGCAUGUCAAUCAAUUUUUCUCUCACCCAAUCUCUCGGCAGACCUAAAUUUUUCCCAUUUAUUGUGGAGAUCGACCUAUGUAAUCAUAACCUGGGCCUGCAAAGGCCAUAGGUUAACUUAGGUAGGGGAAUCAUUUUUAUAACAUGAGUUUUACCCACAAAACCCAGAGAAUACCAUAUUUUUGUUAACUCUGAAUAGGUUUAAAUGCAUUAGAUGCAUUCUGCAUGUAUACAGUUUAGCAUUAGCAAAAAAUGGCAAUUCUAGAAGGACAUGUUUAGCAAUAGUUGUAGGGUAGUAACUUUAUGCUUGAAAUGUCUUGUUUAUAGAGUAGUAGAAAAAGCAGCACAGAAAUACAGUUUCAUGUUUCUCUUUUUGCAUCACUGAUCACUAUGUAUAAAAAGGUAUGCAUUUAAAAAUGCUGAGAUGCAUUUGUGAAUCCGUGCAUAAACAUCUAUAUAUGGAAAUGUAAAAUCUGGCAUUGCUAAUAAAGUUUCAAAACAUAUAAUACUAGCAGCUAAAAACUAAAGUCAUUCAUUUUUGCCAAGAAAACAGUCUCAUUAUUUAGCCAAGAAAAUAGAUUUAAUGUCCACUACCUGUUUCAGAUGAUUUGUGAGAUUUCCAGUUAUAUUUGUCCUUAAUAAAAGUUAUAUGCUGUAAACAUUGAAUGUGCACUCGGUACUUCUGUUUUGUUCUGUUGUUCUGUCUUUAGCUACAUUACAUAGCACUAUUGGACAGACUCCCUUUCCAGAUCUGCUUGAUUCAAGUAAAUAACAUUAUGUAACCAAACAUUGCACUGUAUCUAAAUACAAAGAUAACUUCAGAGAUUUGUUUCUUAUUGCCUGCAGGAUUUUGCAGAGACGCUCGACAAAUGCUUUGAAAAUGUAUAUGAACUGGACCUAAUCUUCAAUGUGGAUAUGAUAGUGCUGCCUUUGAAAAAGAUUUCUUCUAUGGCAACAACACACAAGGAUUCAAAAGACUUUGAUGAAUGUUUUACACAUUGGACUUACACUUGGGACUUUGAACUUAAUGGACUUCUCACAAGGGGUUAACGCUGUUCAUUGUGGAGGUUAGGCAUGAAAAUCCUCCUUGCAAUUACCUCGGAACCAAUAGGAACAGAGGGGGGAGGAGUUUAUGGUUAUUUAUUGAAUGUUUCACUGUUGUGGUUAUAUACUUGAAAAAGAGCUACCUAGCUCGAAACAUGUUGUGUGACAGUGA